rnacentral:lncRNA from 1 species
AUGCUGGGAGCACUUGAACCUGCGGCACACAGCUGUACUGAAAUUGAGCUCUGGCUCUCAUUCUGGCUGUCAUGCAGUGUUACCGUCAGCACUACUUUUAAGAUGUCUUCAGCCCACAGACAAACUAAAAAUGUGUGCUGUCAGCAGAGACUACAGGACGAGGGGUAUGAAGGACUGAAUAUGGCCUUGGCUAUGUCCCCAGCGAUGGAACGGAAGAGGAUUGAACAUAGAGCUGACAUUAUGGGGAGAUUCUCACUGAAGACUGCUUUCAGCACUCCAUCACAUUGGAUUGACAAUCAUUUCACACCUACAAACGGGAGGCUAAAUGUUUCAACUUGGGAGAAAAGAGGCAAAUAUAUUUCUAAUCCUCUCUGGUUAUACUGGCACUGGAAAAUAUUCCUAUACGCUCUGUUGCAGGACUCGAAUGUAUUUUUAAAAUAUAACCCAAACUACAGAUCAUUUUUUUGCCUUAAGAAAUAAGAAAUAUCAAGUACUGGAAAAAAGAGUUAAACUCCUGGAAACUGAGCUCUCUCCACUAUAGUUGACAUUAUGAAGUCCUGAUAUCAUAGUCUUGAUAUCUGAUAAAAGCUUUUGUAAUAAAUUUGUGGCUUAUUCUACAAACUUCCACCCAAGAGUUAUUCUGUUUU